rnacentral:rRNA from 1 species
GACGAACGCUGGCGGCGUGCUUAACACAUGCAAGUCGAACGGAAAGGCCCUGCUUUUGUGGGGUGCUCGAGUGGCGAACGGGUGAGUAACACGUGAGUAACCUGCCCUUGACUUUGGGAUAACUUCAGGAAACUGGGGCUAAUACCGGAUAGGAGCUCCUGCUGCAUGUGGGGGGUGGGAAGUUUCGGCGGUUGGGGAUGGACUCGCGGCUUAUCAGCUUGUUGGUGGGGUAGUGGCUUACCAAGGCUUUGACGGGUAGCCGGCCUGAGAGGGUGACCGGCCACAUUGGGACUGAGAUACGGCCCAGACUCCUACGGGAGGCAGCAGUGGGGAAUAUUGCACAAUGGGCGGAAGCCUGAUGCAGCAACGCCGCGUGCGGGAUGACGGCCUUCGGGUUGUAAACCGCUUUCGCCUGUGACGAAGCGUGAGUGACGGUAAUGGGUAAAGAAGCACCGGCUAACUACGUG